UGGAUAUGCCUAAAGAAAAAAUGUAAAAUACUUGAUGUCUAUAGGAGGUACUUCAUGGCCACAACUCUACUAGCUACCUAGCUGUUAAUAAUAGAUGACUUAAAAGUCGCUAUUUCUUCUAAUUUGUAUUUUUUAAGAAACAGUUGGAAUUAUGCACUGCCCUGUUUCAAGUGGGCUACACAGAUUGCAUUUGAGUUUCUUUUCUUAGCUGGUUCCCCUGUCUUUACCCAGCAGAGAAUUUAGCAACUGCUUCAAGGGUAUAGGUAAGCAUCAGAAAACAGUGCUGGCCAGAUAAGCCUAUUGUGGAAAUAAAAUUAAUCUAUUUGAACACUCCCUGGAGUAUAUGAACAAUUUUCAGUAUCAGAAUGUCAAGCGUGUGGCACUGGAAUUCCUACACAUAAAAAAGUGUAUGACUUGGAGGAGUGAAUGAGAUUUCCUCUCCAUCCUACUCAAAUAUAAGAGUCUCGCUCUUUUGCCCAGGCUGGAGUGCAGUGCAGUGGUGUGAUCUCGGUUCACGGCAACCUCUAGCAACCUCCGCCUCCCGAGGUCAAGCUAUUCUCGUGCCUCAGCCUCCUGAGUAGCUGGGACUACAGGCGCACACUACUACUCCUGGAUAAUUUUUCUUGUUGCCCAGACUGGUCUCCAACUCCUGGCCUCAAAUAAUC
rnacentral:lncRNA from 1 species